GCCAAUCUUCACACAGCUGCAGUGAAGGCACACACAGAUUAUACGGGAUUUGGACUCAGCAGGCCAGAGGGCAGAUUUUACCUCCUCCACCAUCCUGACUCUGACCAGGCUACAUCUCAUGCUGAGCCUCAACUUUCUUCUCUGUAACAUUGCAAAGGGACAACAGAUAAGGAAAAUGGAGUGGAAGCCUCACCACAGAUGAUGGUGCAGUGCUGAGAAGCAUCGGAUUCGAGACAGACAUAGAGACCUGGAGGCACUGAAUGGAAAAAAGGAACAGAGGAGACAAGAACAUGCAGACAGAACAACAUGGGCUUUGCACAGGGUGUCACUGUGUUGCCCAUACUGCAGUGAACUGGCAGUGUCAUAGCUCACUGCAGCCUCAAGCUCCUGGGCUCAAGUCAUCCUUCCACCUCAGUCUCCCAAGUAGCUGGGACUACAGGUAUGCACCAUGACAUCUGGCUAAUUUUUUAGUUUUUGUGGAGACGGAAUCUCGAUAUGUGGCCCAGCCUGGCCUCAAGUAAUCCUCCUGCCUCAGCCUCGCAAAGUGCUGGGAUUACAGGCAUGAGCCACGACACCUGGCCUAAAUAUUUCUCAAAAAUAAACCAAGAAUGAUUUUCAAGGCCUAAGAAAAAGACAUGGCACUGAUGAGAUUUUGAAGACUUUUAUUAAAAGUAAUAAGCAUAGUUCAUUCACCCAAAACUGACAGUGGAAAAUCUGAAUGUUUCAAGUAAGUAGAGGAAAUUCCCCCAAAUGAAGAGGGGAUGACAGAGUCCUGAAGUUAGCUACUGGACACCUUCAGCGGCAGACACUGGAAGAUUAGUUACAAGAGGGCUCGACAGGCCUGCAGGUAAAACAAACAAAGCAAAACAAACUGAAACAAGAAAGCACAGCCAGGCUCUCUCUCCCCAGCUCAGCAGGAGCUCCAGCCCCAGCUGCCAUCAUUCCUAGCACUCCGGUAGCAGCGUUACUAUUACUAACACUUACGGUAUCUUCAAAAUCAUCCUCCUGGCAACCAAUGUGAAGUCACCACCAGGCCCAGAAAGUGGCUGUGACUCUCCCCUGGUGGCCAACACUGCUAGCUGCUGACCUAACUUCCGUUACCCAUCCUCUUCCUCACUACCAGGCCCGUAGGUACUGCUGUGGGGUAUAAGGUGCGCAGCUGAAGAAAAUGCAUUUUUCCAGCCCCCUUGUGAGAUGGGGUGGCCAUAUGACCACGCUCUGGUCAGCAGAAUGUCAGUGAAGUUUUUGGGUGGAGAUUCCAGAAGCUUCCUGAGAAGAGGGCUGGCGGGAUGGGCAGGGAUCCCCUCUGUCUCAGGCCCUCUGCCGCAGAGGUAGUAUGAGGUCAGGAGCAGGAAGCCCCCACCAGCAACAGGCAAGAGCGAGCAGCACCAUGGGGUCCCCAAGCCAGCCAGGGACUCUCAGCGACAGGAGAGAAAGGCAAGCCUCUGCGUUCUCGCAAGAGGCUCUUUUCUGGAGGCGGUUUCAGUUUUGCGGUGCUGAAUCCAGUUCUGUAAGGGAAGAAAAAGUUAUUUCCUCACCCAUUGCUAGGUUUAUGGCUGAGACACCUAUCAUAAAAGACAGAUAAACAAGAGAAAAGCAGGCGAAUUUAUUUCAUUGUAUGUAAUUUUUACAUGACACAGGCACCUUUAGAUAUGAAGACCAAAAGGCACAGGGAGGCCUGUGUAUCUUUAGGCUAAGCUUGAUGGAGAGCGGACAGUGGUGGAAAAGGGUGAGUACACAGAGCGGGUGUCACCUGAUGGCAGUGAACUGCGGGAAUAUGCAAGGUGCCAGAUUUCAGGGUCUUGUGUCCCAAACCCCAUUAGUGUCUAACUCAGUGUGGAUAUAACUGCUGGGACGCUAGCAGCGGUCUCUUUGGAAAUUGCCAGAGCGCGCCACCGCGGCUGCUGGGUCACUGGGCUUCUGUGUUAUGAUGGAUGCUGUAUUCGUCAUCCAUCAUUUGUGGUGUGUUGUAAAGCAUCACAAACUGGGUGCCUUUAAACAACAGAAAUUUGUUCCCUUACAGUUCUGGAUCCCAGAAGCCUGACAUCACGGUAUCGGCAGGGCCGUGCUCCCUCCUGGGAAGCUUCCCUCCCCUCUUCCCUCUUCUGGCAUUGCUGGUGCGUCAGCCCGGUCUCCACCUCCGUCUUCACACAGCCAUGACCCCGUGUGUCUCUCCUCCUCUUCAGAUGUUCUUCAGUAAGGACAUCAGUCAUGUUGGAUUAGGACCCACCCUGAUGACCUCAUCCUAGCUCACAUCUCGAUGUCAUCUGCAAAAAUCCUAUUUCCAAAGAAGGCCACUUCACAGGCCCCAGGACUUAAGAUUUUAAUGUAUCUUUUGCAACAAACACCUUAGCGAAAUUUCUUGCAACACACACCUUGGUUUAAUGUUCUUGAACUAAUCCACUGGCCUCUGGGACUCAGGCAUAGCUCUUUGGGCCUCUCAAACUGGCCUGAUGUCCUGGGACCAAAUUUGCACUGUGCCUAACCUUGGGCUGAGGAUUUUUGCCAGAAAGCUCUGGUCUCUCAUACCCCAGGCAGGCCCAUCCUUCCAGUCCUCCAGGCAAAGCGAAUCUGAACUGUGUUAGUUCUAGGCUGUGCCAAGUCCAGGCUCCCUGAGGUUUCUACACUGCCUUUAUAUUUAUAGAUCUUAAAAAAAAAAAAAAAAAAAAAAAGGUACUGUUUCUGGUAUGGUUUGGCUGUGUUCCCACCCAUAUCUCAUCUUGAAUUGUAGCUCCCAUCACUCCCACUUGUUGUGGGAGGGACUUGGUAGGAGAUAAUUGAAUCACAGGGGCAGUUCCCCCAUACCGUUCUCAUGGCAGUGAGUAAGUCUCACGAGAUCUGAUGGUUUUCUACGAGGAAAACCCUUUUGCUUGGUCCUCACUCUCUCUUGUCUGCGGCUAUGUAAGGCAUGCCUUUUGCCUUCCACUAUGAUUGUGAGGCCUCCCCAGCCAUGUGGAACUGUGAGUCCAUUAAACCUCUUUUUCUUUAUAAAUUACCCAGUCUCAGGUAUGUCUUCACCAACAGGGUGAAAACAGACUAAUACAGUUUCUCCCCGGCUUCCCUGAAGACCCACCAGUGUCAGAGGAAGGCGACUUCACAGCCCAGCACAUCUGGGACUCAGCUCACUUCAAGGGUAAAAAUCUCUUUGAAGUCACAUGUUUUACUCAAAAAAUCUCGUUAACUUUCCUUUUACUGCUUAAAGUACUUGUGUUUGCUUUCUCGUUGUAAGAAUGGUUUUUUGCGCGUAUCUUCAGGUGCAGUCAAUGCCCAGGAAUUGUGCACUACCUGCUCUUGAAGGGCCCUUUUCUCCUCAGUUCCUGGGGGUGCUUCCCCUGCUUGAGAAGCACAGGUCUUUCCUGUUAGGGGUUAGGGUUAGGGUUAAGCCCUCAUGUCCCAUCCUGGAUUUGAUCUCUACCACCCUGUGGAAUGACAAGAAAUCUAUUUCAUUUAAAAAAAAAAAAAAAAAGUUAAACAGCUUUCAAAAGUAAAAAAAAAAAAAAAUUAUUUUUUUUUAAUUUCUGAAACAAUUUUUAAAUUAAAAAAUUUUAUUUUAAAUAAAUUGGGUUUUUGUCCCCCAUUCCUGGCACGCAGCCCCUAAACGCCUUUCCUGAGUGUCAGGGCUGUCUUUGGUGUUGGCCAGGAGCCCCUUCCCAUCACACCUGAGUGCCUGCUAACAAAGUAAGCGAGGCUGGGUCCUGGGACAGCCUCAGGAUGGGGUGGGCAUGAGAAAGACCAUGCCAGUAGAGGGUGGGAACUUUCAGCCUCACCCACCUGCCUCUGGGAAAGGGAGUGGGGGUGCUGGUAAUCAACCUCUAUAAAAUCUCUUAAUAACUGUAUUUGAUGAGCUUCCAGGUUAGUAAACGUAUCCAGGUGCCAGGAGGGUGGCACCCCCCAGCUGCUGCACUCAGGACCCUUCAGACCUCACCCUGCAUAUUCCCCACCUGACCGUUCAUCUGCGUCCUUUAUAACAGGGGCCCCAACGCCCUGGCCACAGACCUGCCUACGUGUGUGUCUAUGUGUGUGUGUGUGUGUGUUUGUGUGUGUAUGUGUAGACAGGGUCUUGUUAUCUUGCCCAGGCUGGCCUCAAACCAGGGCCUCAAGUGAUCCUCCUGCCUCAGCCUCCCAAAGUGCUAGGAUUAUAGGCAUGAGCCACAGUGCAUGGCCUCUGUUUCUUUUUUAUGUUUUCAUUUUCCCAACCCAUUUUGAAUGUUUCACUGCUCUGAAAUGGUCUGUCAAAUUAGUUACCUGAGUUCUCAAAUACGUGUCCUUGUUUUCAAGGGUUUACAUAAGUAACCACCCACUUUAAUCAGAACACUAUCCAAUUGACUGUCUGAGUACAGGAAUCUAGUUGGUUUUCUUCCAGUCUUCAACUGCAGAAAAUUUCUUUGCUUCCAGAUUUUGUUUCAAACUAUUUCUAACUCCAAGUAAACUCGUCCAUUUGCUUAGGGUUAGCCCACAUUCCCCGCAUCCCCCAUCUCAGACAACACCAUUGGGUCUCCCAAGAUAUCCCAAGGAAAUCAAUAACAAUUGAUUAUUAUUAAUUCUCUGACGCUCUUAUCCAUGCUUGGAAACACGCACUGACUACUGAAUACAGUUGAGGUUCACAUCGUAAUUUUGUUUUCUAGUAAAUCUGUCUUUACUAAUAAUAGUAUUUACAGAAGAAAAAGUAGAACUCAUUCUAUUUUUAUCUUGGAAUGCAUGAUACCUCCAGGUAAAGUGGGGUUUUUUGUUUUUUAAUGUGUAAGUUUCAAACUGUUAAUUUAGAAAACAUUUCAAACUUACACAUGAGUUGCAGUCAUAAUAAAAUGACUCCUUCAGCUAGAUGUAUCAAUCGUAAACAUUUUGUCACAUUGUCUCAUAAAACAUGUUUCACGUCUCUCUUUCUCUCUUUGCAUAUAUGUGUAGAUACUUGCAUAUGCACUUAAUUAUGUUCAGAUUUCAUCAUUUGAGGGUGAUUUACAGAUAUAAUGAUCCUUAGCCCCUAAAUAACUUCCUCAUAUAUCUCCCAAUAAAAAGGUUAUUCCCUUACAUAACUUCAGUAAAAUGACGAAAUUCGGGAAGUUGAAGGUUGCCAUAAUACUAUUAUCUAAUUUACAGACUAAUUCAAAUGUCACCAACUGCCCCAAUACACUGGUAAACGUAUAAUGCUUUAGGGGUAUGUUGAGGUCCUGUCAACUGAGAUGAAGAGAUGUUAACUUGCUUUUGAAAAUGAGUCUAUAUCAUUAAAAAUUUCUAAAUUCCAAGUUCUAUGGUGAGAAAGAGACUCAGUCAAUAGCAGUUAUUUAAGUAUUCAAAAACCUAUUGGCACGAUGACUUUGGCAACAUUUAGACUAAAAUUGAAACCAUGCAGAGAAAAUUAACAUGGCCCCUGCACAAGGAUGACACAGAAAUUCAUGAAUUGUUUAAUUUUUUUUCUGAAUAGAAAAAAGCAAUCUGGACUGAAUUGCAUUCCUCUAAAAUUCACGUGUUGAAAGUCCAAUCCCCGAUGUGACUGUAUUUCUUGAUAGGGCCCGUAAACGGGUUGUUAGGUAAAAUGGGGUCAUGAGGGUGAAGCCCUAAUCCAGGAGGACUGUUGUUUAUAUAAGAAAAGGAAGAGAUACCAGCGACACACUUGCAUAGAGAAAAGGCCAUGUGAGGACACAGCAAGAAGGCAGCCGUCUGCACCCUGAGAAGAGAGGCUCAUGAGAAACACUCCUGUUGGCACCUUGAUCUUGGACUUCCAGCCCGCAGAACUGUGUGAAAAUCCAUUUCUGUUGUUUAAGCUGCCUGCCUGUGGUAUGCUGUUACGGCAGUCUUAGCAGGCUGGCACACUGGGUGAAAAUAGAGGUAAAGGCAAUAGACUCACCUUCUCGAAAGUUUCUUAAAUCAUAUUUGAUGGCUGAAGCAAACCUAACACCAUAUGAUGUAGUGCUCAAUGUAAAAUACUUAGGAACAUUUUAUUUAAAAAGUAGGAAGUGUCAAGGGGCCUAAAUGGAAGUAAACAUUCAAUACUUCACUCAAAGUGGUACCAUUUUUAUAUGAGGAGGCUAUGAUAAGUUACAUCUAUACAUAUGUAUAUGUGUGUGUGUGCAUAUAUAUAUAUAUAGAGAGAGAGAGAGAGUACAAUCACCAGGAGGACAAUACAAGGUUAUAUGAUUUUUAAAUACAUGAAUAAAGUAGAAGGGAAUUCUAGAAAAUGCUGAGGUAAUCUACAGGAAGGAAAAGAAAAGGAAAUGAGAAACAGAAAACAAGUAAUACAGUGACAGACUUAAACCCUAAAUAUCAAUUCUAAUCUAAAUCCAUCAGUUCAAUGACAGAGGUUGGCAAAAAUAGAUAUAAAUACACUACCCAACUACAUGCCAUCUACACAUGUUGGUGGCUCAUGCCUGUAAUCCCAGCACUUUGGGAACCGAGGCAAGCAGAUCACUUGAGGUCAGGAGUUCGAGACCAGCCUGGCCAACAUGGUGAAACCCUGCCUCUACCAAAAAUACAAAAAUUACCCAAGCAUGGUGGUGUGCGCCUGUAGUCCCACCUACUCGGGAGGCUGAGGCAGGAGAAUCGCAUGAGGCAGAGGUUGCAGCGAGCCGAGAUCAUGCCACUGCACUCCAGCCUGGGUGACAGAGUGAGACUCUGUCUCAGAAAAAAAAAAAAAAAAAAGGAAUAAGUGAAAGGAAAAAUAGACAAACUCACAAUUAUAGUUGGACACUUCAUCACUUCUCUUUCAGCAACUGAUAGGACUAUUACACAGAAAAUUGGCAAGGAUAAAGAACUGAACAAUACCGUCAGUCAGCAUGAUUUCUAGAGCAUUCCACCCCAAGAUAGCAGAAUACACAUUCUUUUCAAACAUCCAUGAAUGUUCCAAGAUAGACCAUAUCCUAGAUGAUUUUUAAAAAUCAAUAAAUUUGAAAGAAUUAAAAUUAUACAAAGUAUGUUUUCUGGUCAUAAGAGAAUCAUACUAGAAAUCAAUACAGAAAGACAAAGGAAAAUCUUUAAAUAUGUGAAAAGUAACCAACACACUCCUAAAUAAUUAAACAUCAAAAAGUAAAUCUCAGAAGAAAUCUGAAAAUAUAUUGAACUGAAUAAUAAUGAAAACAAAAUGUGUCAAAAUUUGUGAGAUGCAGCUAAAGCAGUGUUAAAAGGAAAAUUUAUGACAUAUAUAAAUGUCAUAUAUAUGCAUAUAUAUAUGAAAAGAGGAAAAGUCUGAAAUCAUUUCUCUAAGUUUCUACCUCACAAAACUAGAAAAAGAAGAGCAAACUAAACACAAAGCAAGCAGAAGGAAAGAAAUAAUGAAGAUAGAAUAACUCAAUAAAAUCGAAAACAGGAAAGGAAUAGAAAAAAAUCAGUGAAACAAAAAGCAGUUCUUUAAAAAAUCUGAAAAAAUCUGUAAGUCUCUAGCAAGACUUACAAAAAUAAAAAAAACAUAAAUCACCAAGGUCAGACAAAAAAUCACUAAUAAAACAGGAAUAUCAGUACAGAUCAAUCCUUCAAUCAUUAAAACAACAUUAAAGAAUAAUAUUAACAAAAGAUAGACCUCAUAAAUGAAUUCAGUAAAGCUGCAGAAUACAAAAUAACAAAAAUCAAUUGUGCUUCUAUAACAAAGAAUGAACUAUCUGAAAAAGAAAUUAGGAAAGCAAUUCCAUUCACAACAGCAACAAAAAGAAUAAAAUAGGAAUACACUUAACCAAAGACAUGAAAAACUUGACACUGAAAAUUAUAAAACAAUGAUGAAGAAAAUUAAAGAAGACACAGAUAAAUGGAAAGACAUCCUGUGUUCAUGGAUUGAAAAUUGAAAAAAUUGUCAAAAUGUUCAUACUACCCAAAGAGAUCUAAGAUUCAAUGCAAUCCCUAUUAAAACUCCAAUGGCAUUUUUUUAUAGCUAUAGAGGAACAAACCUAAAAUGUGUAAGGAACCACAAAACACUCUAAGGAGGUAAAUCUAUCUUGAGCAAGUAAGAUAAAACUGGAGGCAUUAUACUACCUGACUUCAAAAUAUAUAACACAGCUAUAGUAAUCAAAACAGCAUGGCACUGACAUAAAAACAGUCACUUAGACCAAUGGGACAGAAUAGAGAGCCCAGAAACAAAUCUAUGCAUCUGUGGGUCAAUUGAUAUUUAACAAGAGUGCCAAAAACACACAAUGGGGAAAUAAUAGUCUCUUCAAUAAAUACUGUUGGGAAAACUGGAUAUCCAUAUGCAGAAGAAUGAAAGUGGACUUUUUCUCAUACCAUAUGCAAAAAUCAACUGAAAAUAGAUUAAAGACUUAAACAUAAGUCCUGAAAUCAUAAAACUACUAAAAGAAAACAUAAUGGAAAAGUUUCUUGACAUUGGUCUGAGCAAUUGUUUUGUGGAUAUGACACAAAAAGCACAGGCAAUAAAAGCAAAAAUAAGCCAGUGGGAUUGUGUAAAAUGAAAAGCUUCUGCACAGCAAAGGAAACAAUCCACAGAACAAAAAAACAACCUACAGAGUGGGAGAAAAUAUUUGCAAACCAUAUAUCUAAUAAGGGGCUAAUAUUCAAAAUAUACAAGAAACUCAAACAACCCAAAAGCAAACAAAUGAACAAGCAAAACAAAUAACCCAAUUAAGCAAUGGGGUAAGGCACCGAAUAGAUAUUUCUCAAAAGACACGACAUACAAAUGGCCAACAGGUAUAUGAAAGUGUGCUCAACGUCACUAAUUUUCAGGGAAAUGCACAUCAAAAUCACAAAAAGAUAUCACCUUACCCCUCACAAAAGAUAAUGUGUUGGUGAGAAUGUGGAAAAAAGGGAACCAUUAUGCAUAGUUUGUAAUGUAAAUUGGUAUAGCCACUAUAAAAAACAGUGUGAAGUUCCUUAAAAAAUUAUAAAUAAGGCCAGGCAUGGUGGCUCACACCUGUAAUCCCAGCACUUUGGGAGGCCGAGAUGGGCAGAUCACCUGAAGUCAGGAGCUUGAGACCAGCCUGGCCAACAUGGUGAAACACUGUCUCUAUUAAAAACACAAAAAAAUUUUCCAGGCAUGGUGGUGGGCACCUGUAAUCCCAGCUACUUGGGAGGCUGAGGCAGGAGAAUCACUUGAACCCUGGUGGUGGAGGUUGCAGUGAGCUGAGAUUGUGCCACUGCACUCCAGCCUGGGUGAUUAGAGUGAAACUCCAUCUCAAAAAAAAAAAAAAUUAUAAAUAAGAACUAGCAUAUGAUCCAGCAAUUACAUUACUAGGUACUUAUCCAAAGGAAAUGAAAUCAGUGUCUCAAAGAGAUAUUGCACCCCCAUGUUUAUCGCAGCAUUAUUCUCAAUAGCCAAAAUAUGGAAACAAUCUUAUCUCUUAUCAUUUGUCCACUGAUAAAUGAAUAGAUAAAGAAAACAUGGGUAUAUUAAUAUACCGUGGGAUAUUAUUCAGCUUUAAAAAGGAAGGAAAUCUUGCCAUUUGUGACAACAUGCAUGAACC
rnacentral:lncRNA from 10 species